CACAAUUCUAGAAGCAUAACUCUUUCACCUCCCUUAUUCCAAUUACAUGUAUGAUUUUCUUUCAAAUCUGUAGGAAGAUCAAUUGCUUCACCUUCUUUCAUUUCCUUAUAUGUUCAAGUUCUCCAGACUUGUUAAUGCCUUUUUCAGUUCUCUUCAUUUUCUCAACUGGGUAUUGCAACUUUCAGGCGUGAGGUAGAAGAGUUUAGGACAUAACUUGGAGUUCUUCGCCGACAACAAUGGUGCUCUUUUAUCAUGUAUGUGCUGCUCUUUAAAGUUAUAGUAGGAGCUAUGGAGAUACACGCUUUUUUAUUAUCCUUUACAUACACGCUUCUCCCUCUAUGGAAAUAUAGUUGCUCUUGGGACUGGGCUAUUGUUGCAGUUAUUUGCCGCUAUCCUUGCUUGGAGAUUUAUGGUGUUCCACUGCUUCUGAUUGGUUCACAAUUACCUUGGCGGAACUUACUCACAAUUACCUUAGCGGAACUUGUUCAGGGCUCUAAUUGAAGCCAAUAUUUUUAUUAUGUUUCUUCUUGACUCUUGAGCUUGAAAGCUGUAGAGUGAGGAGAUAUAUCGUAAAGAUCUUGUCAGUUUGCAAUACAUACAUGUCGAGUCAAGGGUGCAGGCAUAAGUUGUAGUUAUGCAUGGUGAAAAUGUCAGUAGUUCGUUCCCUACCCACAAGCCGCAUCAGCUGAAAGAGAAGGGAGUUGAGUUGAUUUCAGCAGGUAUAGACGUAGAAGGGAAAAAAAAAGGGCACUCUCAAAGUUUAUAAAGUGAAACAUAUUGCCUUGGCUUACAUACAAUUGCACAAGAUCUGAUUGAAGGCGUCUUUUUACUUUAAUUAAGUUCAUGACUAACACACCCAUGUUGAGUGCCUUUUCAAGAUAACAUAAGAUUGAAGGAAACUUUUUCACAAUUUGGAGAUAUCAGCCGAUGUACGAUGUACGUAUUUGCCAUCGUGGGGUUUUUAUGUUUUGUCUUUGUUCUUUUGGCAUAACUGUACAUCUCAUGAAAUGUUCUUCUUCCUUAGUUGCAAUGUAAAGUAAAGCUGCAUUAGAAUCCAAAUCGUUGGGCCCGCAAGCGCGGGCAAGAGUCAUCUAGUAUUAUAUAGAAAAGCCAUGCUUGGUCGACCAAGGGUAGAAUUGUCAUUACUCUGUCAUUUUAUUUUUUUAUAUACGAUGCCACACUUUCAUCUUCUUUCUUAACUCUCUCACUUUCCCUUCAUCUUCUCAGUUUGGGGUUGUACCACAAUUUUUGCUUAAAUCUUCUUACACUUCUUUUCAAUUCAUCCUCCUCUCUCUUUCAAUCUUCUGUUCAUUACUUUUUUCAAUGGAUUUCUUCCUAUUUUGUCAACUUCUUGCUUGAAGUAUCUAUAUUCAUGGGUCUUCUACUUUGGGUGUUACAAGGUUCAGAGAAUGUUCAAGCUUUGUUCCCACUUUGAAUUUACCUUAUUGAAACAGGUUUGUACUCAAAAGAUAGAAAAAUAUUUACUUGCCAUGGUCAUGGACGACUCGACGCACCUCCUCCAUCAUUUUCAAAAAGACUGAUUAUUCAUCAAAUAGAAGUUUAAGGAAGUCAUCCUUUUAAAGAAGUCUGAUGACUCUGAUGACUGAGAAUAGGAGCAAGCUCUUAUGAUGGAGAUCAAGAAGAAUAUAAAAUAGCGGAUAUUUCCAGCAAUGUGCAAAUCCUUGCAAUACCAUAUAUGGCUCUUAACUUGACUACAUAAUUUUUAUUGUUCAUAGGUGGUAUAGCACUGAUAGCAACAUAAUACGUUUGGUUAAUCAUUUGGUAUAUAAUGAUAGGUAGGAAAUGAACAAUUAGUCAUAUGCUUGGAUUUGGUUUUGUAAAUGAUUUUAAAAGAAAAGCGCAACAAAAUGAAAUAUUUGUUCGGUUCUACA